GAUGAACGCUGGCGGCGUGCCUAAUACAUGCAAGUAGAGCGCUGAAGGAGGAGCUUGCUCUUCUGGAUGAGUUGCGAACGGGUGAGUAACGCGUAGGUAACCUGCCUGGUAGCGGGGGAUAACUAUUGGAAACGAUAGCUAAUACCGCAUGACAACAGUUAUUGCAUGAUAACUGUUUAAAAGGGGCAACUGCUCCACUACCAGAUGGACCUGCGUUGUAUUAGCUAGUUGGUGAGGUAACGGCUCACCAAGGCGACGAUACAUAGCCGACCUGAGAGGGUGAUCGGCCACACUGGGACUGAGACACGGCCCAGACUCCUACGGGAGGCAGCAGUAGGGAAUCUUCGGCAAUGGACGGAAGUCUGACCGAGCAACGCCGCGUGAGUGAAGAAGGUUUUCGGAUCGUAAAGCUCUGUUGUAAGAGAAGAACGAGCGUGAGAGUGGAAAGUUCACACUGUGACGGUAUCUUACCAGAAAGGGACGGCUAACUACGUG
rnacentral:rRNA from 1 species